rnacentral:rRNA from 1 species
AAAUAAAAAACAUUAGUAAUAAUAUAAGCUUUAUUCUUUAUUAAAACAUUAUAAGAUUUAGUAAAGGUGAUUAAAUAUUUUUGUGUUACUUAAUAAAAGUACUGUAAAGGAACUAAAUUAACUAUAGAAAAGAAAGAAUUUAUCUCUGUACCUUUUGUAUCAUGGUUUAACUAGAUUAAAUUUCGCAUGGAAAUACUCGAAAUCUAAUGAGCUAUCUUUAACCUUUAUAUUAGUAUCUAAUAGUUAAUUGUAGCAAAAAUUUCUUUAGAGUUGAAGAUAGAGAUGAAAUUUUAUUCGCAUUAGAUGAUAGCUAGUUCUCUUUGAAAGGCAUAGUAGUGCUUUGGACUAAUUUUAUUUAAUAAUUAAUUGUUAUUAAAUUAUAUUUUAGUCUAGUUAUAUUUUUGAGGAUAAGCUCGAAAAUACAUAAAUUUUUACAUAAUAUUUAUAUAUAAAUUUAAGCUUGAAAAUAGUUAUUAUAGUUAGAUUUUGUUACAAUUUCAUUAUUUAAUAAAAAAUAUAAUUAAUUUGUUAUAAUAUAAUGGGGAGAUCUCAAGAAUUAAAUAAUGAGGUGUAUUUAUGUUAAAAUGAGUAUUAAAAUACUGUAUUAAAAUUAAAAGAUGUAUAUUAUUAAAAUUGGUUUUUAAAUUUUUGGUUUAAAUUAUGGAAAGGAACUCGGCAAAGUAUAUUCUGCCUGUUUAUCAAAAACAUGGCUUCAUGUAUUAUAAAAAUAUGAAGUCGGACCUGCCCAGUGAUUAGUUUUUAACGGCCGCGGUACUCUGACCGUGCAAAGGUAGCAUAAUCAUUUGCCUUAUAAUUGAAGGCUAGAAUGAAUGGUUUGACAAGAAUAUAACUGUCUCUCUGUAAUUUAAUAGAAUUUUAUUUUUAGAUGAAAAAGUCUUAAUUAAAUUAAAAGACAAGAAGACCCUAUCGAGCUUUAAAGAAAUUAGUAAAAUAAUAUAUUAAUUAAACUAAAAAAUAAGUUGCUAAAAAUUUUGGUUGGGGCAACCAAGGAGCAAAAAAAUCCUCCUUUAUAAUUAUUAAACAUUUCUAGUAUUGAUCCAAAAUUUUUGAUUAAAGGAAAUAGUUACCGUAGGGAUAACAGCAUUAUCUUUUUUAAGAGUUCUAAUCGAAAAAAAGGUUUGUGACCUCGAUGUUGGACCAGAAUAUCCUAAAGAUGCAGAAGUCUUUAAAGGUUGGUCUGUUCGACCAUUAAAAUUCUACGUGAUCUGAGUUCAGACCGGCGUGAGCCAGGUCAGUUUCUAUCUUUAAUUUUUUAAAUAUAUUUAGUACGAAAGGACCAAUAUAUUGUAAUAAUUACAAAAAAAUGAAGAAAUAUAAAGAGAAUUUAAGUUUUUAAA